rnacentral:piRNA from 1 species
UGUGAUUUCUCUCAGAGGAUACAGAGC